GACGGAGGAUGCAAGCGUUAUCCGGAAUGAUUGGGCGUAAAGCGUCUGCAGGUGGCAGUUCAAGUCUGCUGUCAAAGACCGGGGCUUAACUUCGGAAAGGCAGUGGAAACUGAACAGCUAGAGUAUGGUAGGGGCAGAGGGAAUUCCUGGUGUAGCGGUGAAAUGCGUAGAGAUCAGGAAGAACAUCGGUGGCGAAGGCGGCCUUCUGGACGAUGACUGACGCUGAGACGCGAAAGCGUGGGGAGCAAACAGG
rnacentral:rRNA from 1 species